GACGAACGCUGGCGGCGUGCUUAACACAUGCAAGUCGAACGGAAAGGCCCCUUUGGGGGUCCUCGAGUGGCGAACGGGUGAGUAACACGUGAGUAACCUGCCCUUGACUUCGGGAUAACUUCAGGAAACUGGGGCUAAUACCGGAUAGGAAUCCUUGCUGCAUGGUGGGGGUUGGAAAGCUUCGGCGGUUUUGGAUGGACUCGCGGCUUAUCAGCUUGUUGGUGGGGUAGUGGCUUACCAGGGCUUUGACGGGUAGCCGGCCUGAGAGGGCGACCGGCCACAUUGGGACUGAGAUACGGCCCAGACUCCUACGGGAGGCAGCAGUGGGGAAUAUUGCACAAUGGGCGGAAGCCUGAUGCAGCAACGCCGCGUGCGGGAUGACGGCCUUCGGGUUGUAAACCGCUUUCAGCAGGGGCGAAGCUUGUGGUGACGGUACCUGCAGAAGAAGCACCGGCUAACUACGUG
rnacentral:rRNA from 1 species